rnacentral:lncRNA from 10 species
GUCCUGUCUCCAUCAACCUCAAGAAAUGGGACCUCAUGGAAGGGAGGGGAGGCAAUGCCGAGGAUGUGCUCCUGAGCAGGUGCCACAAUUCUUCACCUGUAAGACUGAGCUGUGGUAGAAGGAUUGAGGCCAGCACAGAGGAGGAUCAGCAGGAAAUGUAAGGGUUGUCCUCAUCUAAUCCGUCAGUACCAGACAGUGAACAUCUCUCCCCCAGGAUGCUGAGGGAGGGUCCUGGAGGGAAGGAUGUGGAACUACAGCCUCUGCUCUCAAGAAGCUCAGAUCUGGGCAGGGAACAUCACAUACCAGGGCUGUCUGUCGGGGGGGUGGAGGGCUGGGGGAGGGAUAGCAUUAGGGGAAAUACCUAAUGUAAAUGACAAGUUGAUGGGUGCAGCAAACCAACAUGGCACAUGUAUACCUAUGUAACAAAUCUGCAUGUUGUGCACGUGUACCC